rnacentral:rRNA from 1 species
CCUACGGGAGGCAGCAGUGAGGAAUAUUGGUCAAUGGGCUUACGCCUGACCCAGCCAAGUCGCGUGAGGGAAGACUGCCCUAUGGGUUGUAAACCUCUUUUGUCAGGGAGCAACGCCGGCUACGUGUAGCCGGACUGAGAGUACCUGCAGAAAAAGCAUCGGCUAACUCCGUGCCAGCAGCCGCGGUAAUACGGAGGAUGCGAGCGUUAUCCGGAUUUAUUGGGUUUACAGGGUGCGUAGGCGGAAUGCCAAGUCAGCGGUAAAAUCGCGGGGCUCAACCUCGCUCCGCCGUUGAAACUGGCGGUCUUGAGUGGGCGAGAAGUAUGCGGAAUGCGUGGUGUAGCGGUGAAAUGCAUAGAUAUCACGCAGAACUCCGAUUGCGAAGGCAGCAUACCGGCGCCCAACUGACGCUGAAGCACGAAAGCGUGGGUAUCGAACAGGAUUAGAUACCCGUGUAGUC